AAUAUACUUCCUCCGUUAGGAAUUACUCGUCGCAGGUAUGGAUGUAUCUAGAUUCUAGAUACAUCCAUUUCUGCGACAAGUAAUUUGGAACGGAGGGAGUAUUAA
rfam:Triticum aestivum genome assembly, contig: Triticum_aestivum_CS42_TGACv1_scaffold_327985_4BS